rnacentral:rRNA from 1 species
UACGUAGGGAGCGAGCGUUAUCCGGAAUCACUGGGCGUAAAGGGCUCGCAGGCGGCCCGAUAAGUUGCGUGUUAAAGCCCCGGGCUCAACCCGGGACAUGCGCGCAAUACUGUCGGGCUAGAGAGCGGGAGAGGGAAAUGGAAUUCCCGGUGUAGCGGUGAAAUGCAUAGAUAUCGGGAAGAACACCAGUGGCGAAGGCGAUUUCCUAGACCGUUUCUGACGCUGAGGAGCGAAAGCCAGGGGAG